CCCCUUCGCAUCCUUGCAUGCGUGAAACUAGGUCAUUAUAGCGUCUUUAUAGCGUGGGCCGCUGCCAUGUUGAAACAAUCCAAGUCGUCUGUGUGUGAAGAACUAAGUUUCAGUUCCGAAUCGGCGACAAUUCACAGACCCAACAAGUUUAAUCUUACAACGUAACAAAUCAACUUAAGUGGAUUUUAAUCAACUUUCUGAAGGAGCAAGAUCUUUGGAAUAACAGGAACCAUUGACGACACAUUAUUCACCUUUGAUAGAGAUCAGAGAACUCUCAGUAUUCAAAGUCGUCAGUGUCCGAUCAUUUCUAUCCUAGAUCUGGACGAAAUAAAACAAACCAUUCAGCUUUUAAUUGACGGCGAAGCAGGCCUGGAGAAAGCACAGUUUGAGAGAGAUUAUCAACAUCUGCUGUAACAUUACAUCAAAGGCGAGGGAGCGCGUUGCUCAGACCUGCAGGGAGCUGCUGUAGAGACGGUUUUCGUCAAUGGUGAAAGAUGUCGCGAUGUAGAGACUUAACUAGCACUGUCAAUUCAUACCGACAGAGCAUUGGCGAGAUAUUGUUGGCCACUUGCAAGCUUAUCGGCGAUUACCGGAAAUAAAGCCAGUUCAGCCAGCCAUCAAAAAAAAAUUCCAGUUCGACAGGGGUGUUACCCCAGGAACUGUUGCAUAUAAAUAUCUAUUAUAUUGUGAGAUAGUGAGAUUUUUUGGGUGGUUAUUUUUAUUGUCAUUGUAAUACGUUGCAUAUUGGGUGUUCUGUUGCAUAUCUAGUUAUUUAAUUGGGCUAUCCCCUCAUAUAUUUUACCUAUAUUAUUCCUGCUAACCCCCGUUAACUUAUCCCUUAUUAUGUCUUCAUCAAACCCACACCGUUUGGUAGAUUACCUUGACGACGCCUUUUCUCAACGACCCCCACCAGUAAGUAUCCCCUGCAAUUUAUGGAACGUGUUGUGUCGCUUCUCACUCGUUUUGAAAUGCCUGUUUUCGUACGUUUAUAACAUGGGGGAUCCGCGAAACUUUACUAUCAAACGAUCAGGCAGAAAAUUAAAGAGAGGCGUUUUCUCUUGGUAGCCAGCCAUUCUUUUCACGCCCAUCCCCCCUGAUUUGUCUGACAGAAUAAGAAGGGCCCUAUUUGUAGUCGCGAGACCGUCACGCCUGGCCGCGAGAGACCCAUCCCACCAAGAAAAUAUAGAUCAGGCUUUGGAUAUCGGGGCGGCGGUACUCCUGAUGUAUGGCCUGUACUUUGGCUUUCCCGUCCUCGUGGGCCUAGGCGUUAAAGCGGCGUUUAGGGACAGGGACGUGACCAUUUUAUUCCAAUUAACUCAACUCCAUACUGACAUGGGUACGGAACUACGAGGUUACGUGGAAAUCGUUUGGCAACUGCUACCUAUUCCGAGGACAAGGGUUUGGCAAGCCCUCUCUAAUCCACAGUGAGAUGAGGUGGCAACAUGUGUCAAUCGAGAGGCGUCCCGCUUCCAUGAAACUAGGACGUGAUUUUUCUUCAAUAAGGAGGCACUGAGGUUUUGCGCCCUUUGUACUCAGGAAAUAUUCCCAAUCCGCGAUACCCGUAGAAAUUUCUGCCAGUAACAUUCUGUAAAUGGUGUCGACGUGUUCAACACACAUGGUGUGCGGUCACUUUUGAAAAUAGCAGGGUCUGAAUUCCGCCAGGUAGCACGGGAUGACAUGGCACCAGGGGAGCAAACAUGCAUACGCCUGGUUAUACCCCGAAACAACGGGUUGGAGGCCUACCUGGCUGGGGGUCCGCCGCUCUCACGACUACCAUGUUGGUUGAAUGUGAAGCAGUGCCCGGAUUGCAAGGUUCCAUAUGAGAACCCGUUCAUCGGAAUGUCAGACGCCAUUUCGCCCAUUCUCCGCGAGCAUCCGGUGUUGUUCCCACCCAGCAACUGUUUAGACCGAUAUGACGUCAUGACGUUAACAAAUUAUUACCGCCCUACGAGAGUUUAAGUAGUCCCGGAGAUUAGGAGUCAGUAGGGACCGGUAUUCCUGGGAAUAUUCACAGAUAGACCUUGGGUAGGAGCUUUAGACACCUAGGGGUCAGUCAAUUGGGGAUGCUGGGCCAACAGUAC